rnacentral:rRNA from 1 species
GACGAACGCUGGCGGCGUGCUUAACACAUGCAAGUCGAACGGAAAGGCCCUGCUUUUGUGGGGUGCUCGAGUGGCGAACGGGUGAGUAACACGUGAGUAACCUGCCCUUGACUUUGGGAUAACUUCAGGAAACUGGGGCUAAUACCGGAUAGGAGCUCCUGCUGCAUGGUGGGGGUUGGAAAGUUUCGGCGGUUGGGGAUGGACUCGCGGCUUAUCAGCUUGUUGGUGGGGUAGUGGCUUACCAAGGCUUUGACGGGUAGCCGGCCUGAGAGGGUGACCGGGCACAUUGGGACUGAAAUACGGCCCAGACUCCUACGGGAGGCAGCAGUGGGGAAUAUUGCACAAUGGGCGGAAGCCUGAUGCAGCAACGCCGCGUGCGGGAUGACGGCCUUCGGGUUGUAAACCGCUUUCGCCUGUGACGAAGCGUGAGUGACGGUAAUGGGUAAAGAAGCACCGGCUAACUAGGUG